rnacentral:rRNA from 1 species
UACGAAGGGUGCAAGCGUUACUCGGAAUUACUGGGCGUAAAGCGUGCGUAGGUGGUUUGUUAAGUCUGUUGUGAAAGCCCCGGGCUCAACCUGGGAAUGGCAAUGGAUACUGGCAGGCUAGAGUGCGGUAGAGGGUAGUGGAAGUUCCCGGUGGUAGCGGUGAAAUGCGUAGAGAUCGGGAGGAACACCAGUAGGCGAAGGCGG